rnacentral:rRNA from 1 species
UACGUAGGGUGCAAGCGUUGUCCGGAAUUAUUGGGCGUAAAGAGCUCGUAGGCGGUUUGUCGCGUCUGCUGUGAAAACCUAAGGCUCAACCUUGGGCUUGCAGUGGGUACGGGCAGACUAGAGUGAUGUAGGGGAGACUGGAAUUCCUGGUGUAGCGGUGAAAUGCGCAGAUAUCAGGAGGAACACCGAUGGCGAAGGCAGGUCUCUGGGCAUUAACUGACGCUGAGGAGCGAAAGCAUGGGGAGCGAACAGG